ACUUUUUAUGUGAAUGUGAUGUAUAUUUUAGAAGUUAUGAAUAUGCUGUAAAAACUGUAUUUUUCCUGCCUGUGAUAAUUGCAUCUUCUAUUGUAUAAGAUAAUUGAAUCACAGGCAGAGGGGAGGAUUUUGUGUGGGCUGUAACCUGUUUUAUUGGCUACUGUAGAUAACGUGUGUGUCCCUCCCCUGCAUGGGAGCAGGGCAUAAAAGAAACUGUAGCUUGAAU